UACGUAUGGAGCAAGCGUUAUCCGGAUUUACUGGGUGUAAAGGGAGCGCAGGCGGCCUUGCAAGUCUGAUGUGAAAUACCGGGGCUCAACCCCGGAGCUGCAUUGGAAACUGUGAGGCUGGAGUGUCGGAGAGGCAGGCGGAAUUCCUAGUGUAGCGGUGAAAUGCGUAGAUAUUAGGAGGAACACCAGUGGCGAAGGCGGCCUGCUGGACGAUGACUGACGCUGAGGCUCGAAAGCGUGGGGAGCAAACAGG
rnacentral:rRNA from 1 species